ACUCAGGAAUAAUAGGUUUGUUUGACUCGAGGUCUCUCGUGCUCCUCGGGAGUUGAAAGAGUUGAGAGCAAGUUGACCUGAGGGAAAAAAGAGUCAGUAACUUUUAAUACACGAAGAAAACGCGAUUUGUUGUAAAACAAUGAUGGCGGAAAAUAUAGCAGACAUCGUGAGAAAUUUGUUUGGAAAUGGAAGGUUCAUCUGAAGAUGAAGUAGCUAUUGAUUUACCAUAUAUUGGACUACAAAUUAUGAGAGAGCUUGAUAAAGGUAAAAAAAAAUAUAUAAUUAUUGCUUUUUGACUUUAAACCGCCUGUGGUAUGCAUAAGCUAACCUGUACUAGGAAACUAUUGCAAAUCUUUUGAUUGUUAAAUAAAGGACGCCGAAUAAGUUAUAUUGUAAUGUUUUUCCGCUUCAAUGUCGUCAUCUAUUAAAAUAUUACCGUCAUCACCAAAUGUAGCUUGAUAACAUAUUGACUCCAUCGUCAAAGUCGCGCCAAAACAACCAGCAGACGACUUGCCCUCGCAACUCUUCCUCGAGAGGAGGAGCAUCGAGAGCAUGACCUGAGUGACCUGAGAGCAACUUGCCCCCGCGAGUAAAACGACCAUCCACCAAACUGCUUCCGGAAAAGGGAGACCUAAGAUGCACAUAAGGGUUUGGACCCUGCCCGAACUUACCCGAACAAUUCACAUUCGGCCAACCUCGAGUUUAUUUUGAUCCUUCAGAUACAAAAAUAUAAACACGGCUAUAUCAUUCACAUAAUAGAUAUAGAACUUUUCAGGCAUGAGAAGAAAUGAGACCAUUAGCUUUACAGUAAACCCCUUGGACACUCCAUGGAAAAGAAGAAUUUAUAUUAAUUAUACUCAUUAUAACUAUGCUUUUUUCAUUGCACGCAGAAUGUUUUUUUUUGUGUCAUUUAAUUGAUAGUUAUUAAGAAAGUUGGAAUAAAAAUAGGUUUGUGGAAUAAAAAAGGAAGUGUA